rnacentral:misc_RNA from 1 species
GAUGAAGAACGAAGUGAAAUGCGACACUUGGUGUGAAUUGCAGAAUCCCGCGAAUCAUCGAGUUUUUGAACGCAAGUUGCGCCCGAAGCCAUUCGGCCGAGGGCACGUCUGCCUGGGUGUCACGCAUCGUUGCCCCCCCCAAACUUCGGUUCGGGCGGGGCGGAAGUUGGCCUCCCGUGCGUGCCUGCGCGCGCGGUUAGCCCAAAAGCGAGUCCUCGGCGACGAGCGCCACGACAAUCGGUGGUUUUUUUACCCUCGUUCCUCGUCGUGCGUGCCCCGUCGCCCGAACGCGCUCUUGCGACCCUCACGCGUCGCCUCGGCGGCGCUCCCAACGCGACCCCAGGUCAGGUGGGACUACCCGCUGAGUUUAAGCAUAUCAAUAAGCGGAGGA